rnacentral:rRNA from 1 species
AUUGAACGCUGGCGGCAGGCCUAACACAUGCAAGUCGAGCGGAUGAGUGGAGCUUGCUCCAUGAUUCAGCGGCGGACGGGUGAGUAAUGCCUAGGAAUCUGCCUGGUAGUGGGGGACAACGUUUCGAAAGGAACGCUAAUACCGCAUACGUCCUACGGGAGAAAGCAGGGGACCUUCGGGCCUUGCGCUAUCAGAUGAGCCUAGGUCGGAUUAGCUAGUAGGUGAGGUAAUGGCUCACCUAGGCGACGAUCCGUAACUGGUCUGAGAGGAUGAUCAGUCACACUGGAACUGAGACACGGUCCAGACUCCUACGGGAGGCAGCAGUGGGGAAUAUUGGACAAUGGGCGAAAGCCUGAUCCAGCCAUGCCGCGUGUGUGAAGAAGGUCUUCGGAUUGUAAAGCUCUUUUGUCCGGGAAGAUAAUGACUGUACCGGAAGAAUAAGCCCCGGCUAACUUCGUGCCAGCAGCCGCGGUAAAGUG